GGAUGUGAGGGCAAUCUGGCUGUGACAUCUGUCACCCCGUUGAUUGCCAGGGUUGAUUCAGCUGAUCUGGCUGGCUAGGUGGGUGUCUCCUUCCUUCCUCACCACUCCAUAUGCGUCCCUCCUGAAGCUGCAUGCUCAGUCGAAGAAGACAACCAUCCCCAAUAGAGGCGGACCGUAUUUCUCCGUCAAGGGUAUACGAGUAGCUGCGCUCCCCUGCUAGAACCUCCAAACAAGCUCCCAACAAAGGUGUGACCUGUAUUCUAACUAUGUAGUUGAAAUUCAACUUCCCUUUCUU
rfam:Camelus ferus unplaced genomic scaffold scaffold508, whole genome shotgun sequence.